GAUGAACGCUGGUGGCGUGCCUAACACAUGCAAGUCGUACGAGCUCGAUCUUCGGAACGGGUUAGUGGCGCACGGGUGAGUAACACGUAGGUGGCCUACCCCAGAGUGGGGGAUAACUUCUCGAAAGAGAGGCUAAUACCGCAUACACUCGGUCAUUCAUUUGGCCGAGCAAAGCUCCGGCGCUUUGGGACGGGCCUGCGUCCGAUUAGCUAGUUGGUAGGGUAAUGGCUUACCAAGGCUUUGAUCGGUAGCUGGUCUGAGAGGACGAUCAGCCACACUGGCACUGACACACGGGCCAGACUCCUACGGGAGGCAGCAGUGAGGAAUAUUGGGCAAUGGGCGAAAGCCUGACCCAGCAACGCCGCGUGAGGGAUGAAGGCCUUCGGGUUGUAACCUCUUUCUGGAGAAGAGACAAGGACGGUAGUCCCAGGAAUAAGUACUCGGCUAACUACGUGCCAGCAGCCGCGGUAAU
rnacentral:rRNA from 1 species